rnacentral:rRNA from 1 species
UCUUUCCGUAGGUGAACCUGCGGAAGGAUCAUUACCUAGAGUUGUAGGCUUUGCCUGCUAUCUCUUACCCAUGUCUUUUAAGUACCUUACGUUUCCUCGGCGGGUCCGCCCGCCGAUUGGACAAUUUAAACCAUUUGCAGUUGCAAUCAGCGUCUGAAAAAACUUAAUAGUUACAACUUUCAACAACGGAUCUCUUGGUUCUGGCAUCGAUGAAGAACGCAGCGAAAUGCGAUAAGUAGUGUGAAUUGCAGAAUUCAGUGAAUCAUCGAAUCUUUGAACGCACAUUGCGCCCCUUGGUAUUCCAUGGGGCAUGCCUGUUCGAGCGUCAUUUGUACCUUCAAGCUCUGCUUGGUGUUGGGUGUUUGUCUCGCCUCUGCGUGUAGACUCGCCUCAAAACAAUUGGCAGCCGGCGUAUUGAUUUCGGAGCGCAGUACAUCUCGCGCUUUGCACUCAUAACGACGACGUCCAAAAGUACAUUUUUACACUCUGACCUCGAUCAGGUAGGAUACCCCCGCU